GAUGAACGCUGGCGGCGUGCCUAACACAUGCAAGUCGAGCGAUUCUCUUCGGAGAAGAGCGGCGGACGGGUGAGUAACGCGUGGGUAACCUGCCCUGUACACACGGAUAACAUACCGAAAGGUAUGCUAAUACGAGAUAAUAUGCUUUUAUCGCAUGGUAGAAGUAUCAAAGCUUUUGCGGUACAGGAUGGACCCGCGUCUGAUUAGCUAGUUGGUAAGGUAACGGCUUACCAAGGCGACGAUCAGUAGCCGACCUGAGAGGGUGAUCGGCCACAUUGGAACUGAGACACGGUCAAAACUCCUACGGGAGGCAGCAGUGGGGAAUAUUGCAAAAUGGGCGAAAGCCUGAUGCAGCAACGCCGCGUGAGCGAUGAAGGCCUUCGGGUCGUAAAGCUCUGUCCUCAAGGAAGAUAAUGACGGUACUUGAGGAGGAAGCCCCGGCUAACUACGUGCCAGCCGCCGCGGUAA
rnacentral:rRNA from 1 species